rnacentral:lncRNA from 1 species
GAUCAACAUGAAACGUGCAACACGACAACAAGUAAGAAUUCAUACCUAUUAUUAAAUGUUACUUUGAACCCCCAAAGUUUUUUAAAGUAUUACUAAGCACUUGUAUUUUGUGAAAUUGAUCUUGUGUUGUCUUCAUACAUCGCAGUUUCAAAAUCUUUAGCGCCUGAAAACUUUUUGAUCGAGUAGAGGUGCAAAAGUUGUUCGAGAUGACACAUUCACUCCUUCACAAAAUAUAUUUUUGGCUCAGGAAAAAGGGACCUUAGGUCAAAAUAGUUGGGGGUUUCUUUUUUCUUUUUAAAAAGUAGUAAGUGUUAUCUAUUAGCACGUAAUUUUUAAUAAUGCUAAUUUCUUUUGGAAACAAUUGUCAAGGAUUUACUUCUAUGCCUAACUGCUAAAAUUUAUAGUGGAUGAAAGUACAACGCUAAAAAAUUUCUGCACGCAUGGAAUUAAGACCUGCAUAUGAGGUGCAGAAAAUUCUUUCUUUUUUCACGUUAUUUUAUGUAUGUUACUCAUGAAGAGAUUAAUGUCUUUAUUUAUUUCGUUUUGUUUUUUUUAUGUAGAAGAAAGUGACAGAAAGCAAAAAUGAGGAUAAGAAUUCCAAAGUUGGAAUAAAGAAAACACCAACUUUCAAGUAUGAAAGAGGCAACACAUCAAAAGAUUCUGACGACCAAAAAGUAAACGCAUCAGAAAGUCUGUAUGCAAAGCAGAAGAAAGUGACAGAAAGCAAAAUUGAUGAAAAAAAUUCCAAAGUUGGAAAAAAGGAGACACAAAAUUCCAAGAAUGGAAGAAGCAACACGUCACAAGGUUCUGACCACCAAAAAGUAAAUGCGUUAAAAAAUCUGUCUGCAAAGCAGAAGCUAAAGUCAGAAAUGUUCCACCAACAGCUUUCCAGCCUUUCAACGUUCAACAUAUCUCUGGAUCGCAACAAACUGACAACUUUCCAAAUAUUUUAUGUUUAGGAAAACAGCCGUUUACAUUUAUUAAAAAUUUUAGAGAAGUAAAGAACAAAAAAGUCUUGGACUUAACAUUAAUUAAAUUACAACAAGUAUACGUUAUAACUGGUUACGCAACACCAACAACAAGUAAGCACCUAUUUCAGAAACAAGUGAACAUUUUAGCAGACUUAGUGCCGUUUACUAGUAAACUAAUAAUUAUCGGGGAUUUUAAUUUUGACAACUGUUUAGCAAACAACAGACAAUUUUUCCAAUUUUUAAUUCCCCAAAGACAGCUUAGAUCAGGUUUUUCAGCAGACAGCGUUACGACUAUAUACGGAUCUCAAUUAGACGUAAUAUACACAGAUUUAGAAACUUCAAAUUCCCAAAUUUAUACCACUGUAUUAAGUGACCACGAUCCAAUUUAUAUUCAGAUCCUCCAAACCGAUCAAAAGUAAGCAGCUCCUACUUUACAGCAAUAUUUUUCUAAGACCCUUAAUAUUAUAUAGGUGUCUCAGGAAUUAUUGCGCCAAUAUAGAUUCCGUCCGUUAAAACAAAAUGAUUUUUUCCUAUCAAGUAAAACAUUGUAUGUCUUUUAUAAACUAUAUACGUUUUAAAACAUUUAUGUUUUGAUACUAACAUGCAUAUUUGGAUUUGUAGUCAUGUGCUUAAAAUAAACCAACAUUUUUACCAAUAUAUGUUUUGUGUAUAUUUUCAUCUAAUACAAAUGGAUUUUUUUAUUAUUACCAUAUUUUUAAUUAGGAAAUUUUUAAAAUAAAGGUGAUUGUUUCAAGUGUCGGGACGAGAAAAUGGAAUUCCAACCAAAUAUUUUUACACUUUAUUUCCUCUAGUUAAGACUACAAAAAUUUACUACGUACAUUCUCAGAUUAUCCAAUUAUUUACAGAUAACGAAAAUGCCCACCAUGACCCAUGGUCGACUCUUCCAGCACGUACGUGGUGGAGCUAACAGCUUGUUCUUGAUUACUUACGCUUCAUUAACCAUCUCACCGUCACGGUAGGAUGCGUCCAAUUUUAAAAAAAAUUGUUUCGCGUGUACGCAGCAAUUUUUUCCUUACUCUCCGUUG